CUAUCUGUCUGAAAUUUUAGAAAAGAGUUCACCUUGGGAUAUGUUAGAAAUUAAAUAAUUCUUCUGUCUGUUCCAUCUCAAAGGUAGGACGAAUUCUUCGUCAGGUCAGUGGGAAGCUGUCACAGUGGAGAUAAAUCUUUGGAACUGUCGUGCCAAGGGCCACCGCCACAUGGGUUUGCUUGUCCAGGUUUGAGGGUGAGGGGUGGGUCCAGCCAAGUAAAUAAAUGAGUAACUCAUGCAACUGAGGUUAAGGUUUUUUUAAGUUGAUCUGUGUUCACACCUGAAGGAAAGUUUGGCAGACUUUGAUGUUUAAGCCAAACGGAUUCCAAAGAGCUCUGCGGAGAAAAGUGCUUAUUUUUACCAAGAGUGAACAUUUCUGCUGUGUCUGCUUGUACUCGCCUCAGAAGCAAACUUGAUUUUAGGAAAAUUAAGUGUUGGUGUAGCUGCCUUCCAUUUCUCUGAUGUGACAGCACUCCUCCCUCGGCACCUGUCUUUCUCCUGCUGCCUGAGCAUUGGAGGCAGAGCAUGAAACCCAGUACCUCUGUGGACACAAGAGAUAGUUCAAGGAGGUCACACUCCAAGUUGUUAGCCCCUGUCUGUGGGAGUGGGAUUUAGAAAUCGGUGGCUAGGAGGUGACUUCUGCAUUUGAAUGAAGUCUGCAUUGUUCAACUUUUAACUUUUAGACCAGAAGAAUAAAGAACAAAAACUCAGUGAAUAAAGCAGCAAUAAUGGGGGGAUCUCAGGGUACUUAGGACUUUUAAAUCAGCCUCUUAUGUAAUUAGGGAUUAAAGAGGAAGUCAAAAUACAACACACUAUUUAGCAUGCGGGAGAAUGAAAACAUCCUUAUUGGAACCUGUGGGAUCUACUCAGGGUCCAGUAGCCAUCAGUCCGGUAGUCCUAAUAUUGGCUUUCUGGUUAUGCUUGCCAACCGUUCCUUGGGACACGGAGUCGCCUGAGGCUCCGUUCAAAGGUUGCCGUGCCCUGUUGCGGCAUCUCGAAGGUUUGAGGCACAAGACGUGUAAGGAGCACAAGGCAUUUCCUCUGGGAUGGGAGUUCCGGCUCCACUUUAAAGUGGCCCCGUUCACUCCGUCGUCAUUAUUUUUUACAAGGGAUUGCUGAGUCACAGGGUGGUGCCCCUGCGGGCCACCGUGGCCGUGCCCAAGCUGCAGCUCUCCACCAGCUGGGUGGACUUCGGGAGCUGCUUUGUGAACAAGGAGCACAUCUGGGAGGUCUACCUGAUGAACCUGAGUGGUUCCCGGAGCUACUACUGGACUGUGCUGAUGGGUACGUCACACUCUCCUGUCUGCCCGUUGCUCCCGUGUGGCUGGGCCAGGACCGCCAGGAAGGGGCCCGUGUGUCCUGUCCCCGCAGGCUGGUACCACCUGGGAAUUCCUGCAGAGAUGGCCAGUUCGCCAGUCCCGGGGUAUCCCCAGGGGUCCAGAAGGCCAAGAAAAGCCAAGGCCUUCUUCAAGAGAAACAAUGUGGAAGAACUCACUCUCCUGGAUUUGAAGACUUUAAACACCACAGCACCCAAGAAAAUGUGGUAUGGGUGCCAGAAUGACACACC